GUUUUAAUAAUUUAAUUAAAAAUAUUGGUCUUGUAAACCAAAAAUAAGAGAAUUCUUUUAAAACU
rnacentral:tRNA from 1 species